AACGUAGGAGGCAAGCGUUAUCCGGAGUUACUGGGCGUAAAGCGCGUGUAGGCGGCUUUGCAAGUCGGGUGUGAAAGCCCUCGGCUCAACCGAGGAAGUGCGCCCGAAACUGCAGAGCUUGAGUACCGGAGAGGAUGGCGGAAUUCCCCAAGUAGAGGUGAAAUUCGUAGAUAUUCGCAAGAACACCAGUGGCGAAGGCGGCUCACUGGCCCGAUACUGACGCUGAGGUGCGAAAGCGUGGGGAGCAAACAGG
rnacentral:rRNA from 1 species